UCCCAGAUAAGUAAGGCCUUUCAUAU
rnacentral:piRNA from 1 species